rnacentral:rRNA from 1 species
GAGUUUGAUCCUGGCUCAGAUUGAACGCUGGCGGCAGGCCUAACACAUGCAAGUCGAACGGUAACAGGAAGAAGCUUGCUUCUUUGCUGACGAGUGGCGGACGGGUGAGUAAUGUCUGGGAAACUGCCUGAUGGAGGGGGAUAACUACUGGAACGGUAGCUAAUAACCGCAUAACGUACGCAAGACCAAACGAAGGGGGACCGUU